UAGCAAAAUUCAUAUCAAGUGCUCCAAAAAAUUGCAGUGUCUAUGAUUUUUGUUUUGUUUUUGUUUUGUUUUUUUGAGACAGAGUCUUGCUGUGUUGCCUGGGUGAUGUCUGCUCACUGCUACCUCCACCUCCUGGGUUUAAGUGACUGUCGUGUCUUAGCCAUUGUUCAUUUGCUGCACAGCAUGUGA
rnacentral:lncRNA from 13 species